UACAGGGGGUGCAAACGUUGCUCGGAAUUAUUGGGCGUAAAGCGCACGUAGGCGGUUCGUUAUGUCAGAUGUGAAAGCCCUUGGCUCAACUGAGGAAGUGCAUCUGAAACUGGCGAGCUAGAGUAUGUAAGAGGGUCGCGGAAUUCCCGGUGUAGAGGUGAAAUUCGUAGAUAUCGGGAGGAACACCGGUGGCGAAGGCGGCGACCUGGGACAUACUGACGCUGAGGUGCGAAAGCGUGGGGAGCAAACAGG
rnacentral:rRNA from 1 species